UUACCUUAAAGAAGCGUACUUUGCAGUGCUCACACAGAUUGUCUGAUGAAAAUGAGCAGUAAAACCUCUACAGGCUUGUAGCUCAGAUGGUUAGAGCGCACCCCUGAUAAGGGUGAGGUCGGUGGUUCAAGUCCACUCAGGCCUACCAAAUUUGCACGGCAAAUUUGAAGAGGUUUUAACUACAUGUUAUGGGGCUAUAGCUCAGCUGGGAGAGCGCCUGCUUUGCACGCAGGAGGUCUGCGGUUCGAUCCCGCAUAGCUCCACCAUCUCUGUAGUGAUUAAAUAAAAAAUACUUCAGAGUGUACCUGCAAAGGUUCACUGCGAAGUUUUGCUCUUUAAAAAUCUGGAUCAAGCUGAAAAUUGAAACACUGAACAACGANGUGAGACAGGUGCUGCAUGGCUGUCGUCAGCUCGUGUUGUGAAAUGUUGGGUUAAGUCCCGCAACGAGCGCAACCCUUAUCCUUUGUUGCCAGCGGUCCGGCCGGGAACUCAAAGGAGACUGCCAGUGAUAAACUGGAGGAAGGUGGGGAUGACGUCAAGUCAUCAUGGCCCUUACGACCAGGGCUACACACGUGCUACAAUGGCGCAUACAAAGAGAAGCGACCUCGCGAGAGCAAGCGGACCUCAUAAAGUGCGUCGUAGUCCGGAUUGGAGUCUGCAACUCGACUCCAUGAAGUCGGAAUCGCUAGUAAUCGUGGAUCAGAAUGCCACGGUGAAUACGUUCCCGGGCCUUGUACACACCGCCCGUCACACCAUGGGAGUGGGUUGCAAAAGAAGUAGGUAGCUUAACCUUCGGGAGGGCGCUUACCACUUUGUGAUUCAUGACUGGGGUGAAGUCGUAACAAGGUAACCGUAGGGGAACCUGCGGUUG
rnacentral:rRNA from 1 species